rnacentral:tRNA from 1 species
GCCGAGAUGGUGAAAUUGGCAAACACGUGCGCUUCAGGGGUGCAUGCCUUGAUAGGCUUGCGGGUUCAACUCCCGCUCUCGGCACUA